CAGGCAGGUAUGGUGUUUACUUGUUACCACACUAGGGACAGUGCUUCAAGGUCAAAGUGGAACAGCUACCCACGACAGUGGACAGCUGGAAAAACAUAGAUACAGUCCAAGAAAGCCCAGGGAGAGAGCAGAGGUCAUAUUAGUCUUCAGGCAGCAGGCCUGGGCAACUUUUGUGGCAUGAUGGAAGAUUCAGAGGUACACACCAGGAGUCGGCUAAGAUGACGGGGUGACACAGCUUGUCAUGGAGUGGGUGGAACCCAGUGACUAUGACCAGCACAUGGGACAAACCUGGGAAGAGCAGGUGGAGAGACACUCUGUCCCUGGAGCAGGGGAAGGGAGGAGAAGCGGAGGGAAGAGGAAUUGCGGUUGUAUAAGAGAAGAAUAAAAGUUGAAGAAUAAGAAGAGGAAGAAGAAAAAAAACUGAUCAGGGUUUUAGACUCCUCUGAAUCUGCGACACUCAAAGACACCGUUUCCUGGAACACCCUGGGCAGUACAGCGAGGCCACAUUGAAGAAGCAAGAGUGCUGUAGAAGUGUCACGAUAGCAAGCCUGGUUCAGCUUCCUCUCCACAACCACUUCCUCCAUUGUGUGCCGGUUUCCAGGGCA